rnacentral:rRNA from 1 species
AGAGUUUGAUCAUGGCUCAGGAUGAACGCUGGCGGCGUGCCUAAUACAUGCAAGUCGAGCGAACAGAUAAGGAGCUUGCUCCUUUGACGUUAGCGGCGGACGGGUGAGUAACACGUGGAUAACCUACCUAUAAGACUGGGAUAACUUCGGGAAACCGGAGCUAAUACCGGAUAACAUAUUGAACCGCAUGGUUCAAUAGUGAAAGGCGGCUUUGCUGUCACUUAUAGAUGGAUCCGCGCCGUAUUAGCUAGUUGGUAAGGUAACGGCUUACCAAGGCAACGAUACGUAGCCGACCUGAGAGGGUGAUCGGCCACACUGGAACUGAGACACGGUCCAGACUCCUACGGGAGGCAGCAGUAGGGAAUCUUCCGCAAUGGGCGAAAGCCUGACGGAGCAACGCCGCGUGAGUGAUGAAGGUCUUCGGAUCGUAAAACUCUGUUAUCAGGGAAGAACAAAUGUGUAAGUAACUGUGCACAUCUUGACGGUACCUGAUCAGAAAGCCACGGCUAACUACGUGCCAGCAGCCGCGGUAAUUC